rnacentral:lncRNA from 1 species
UCACCUAGGGAAGACGAAUGACAGCCAUAGAAGAAGAGGCAUCAUCCUGUCUCUAAAUGGCAGGAGGACUUUGUAUAAGCCUUCCAGACAAUGGAAGCCAUGUGGGCGAAGACUCAGGAGCCGACCUCUGUCAUAGCAGCCUUUCAAACAUGAUGUAGAAGCGAUAUUCAUCUUACUGGGCCCGUAGACAUGAGAAGGUCACCCAAAGAACACCCUAUUGUCUGAAGGGGCUGCUUCUGUUGUGGCUGGAAUCAAAGACUGGGACAACGACAUCUCUGCUUUAACAAGUUCAUGAACCACGUACCAUCCAAAGGCCCGGGGAAGAAAUUACAGGUAAAGAACAAGCCCAAGGUGAGAUCCUUAGCCCUGAAAACAUUUCUCCAGGGAGGCAACAGUCAUCAUCAGCCAUCUCACAGAAAUCCCAGCCUAAAGAACAAAGUCUAGUGGAGCAGUGCUUACCAUGGCUGCAGGAAACCAGGACACUAGAGAGUCACUGCCCUUGGUGGGGUCCUGGAAAACAACUACUACUACUAUUAUUAUUAUUAUUAUUAUUAUUAUUAUUAUUAUUAUUAUUAUUAUUGUGUUUGUGAAACAGGGUCUCACUAUGUAGCCCUGUCCAUCCUGGAACUUGCUACAUAAACAUAAAAGACUGGCUUCAAACUCACAGAGAUUCACCUGACUGCCUCCAAACUGCUGGGAUUAGAGGCGUGUCCCCCAACAUGCCUGGUGAUAAAUUCGUCAGAAAGUAUAUCCUAAAGUGAACCAUUCAUCUCACCUGCUAUGCAAGACUUCAACUGUGAUGGUGACACAGAUGGAAAAUGGACUGGAGCUUUACUGACAGUCAGUGGUUCUAGGUCAGCCUCGGUAUGCAGGAUUCACAAAGUGAAGUUGGAGAAGGAGAACUGAAGUCUAAGAACUUGCAGGCUCAAGUCUGGCCACUGUGAUCCAGAGCCUCCUCAUGGCUGCCUGAGGAAGACAAUCGCCUCCUGUUUGCCUUUGGAACAAGACGUAGAACUUGCAGCUCCUCCAGCACCAUGUCUGACUGCACAGUGCCCUGCUUCCUGCCAUGAUGAUAAUGGACUGAACUUCUGAAACUGU